AUUGAACGCUGGCGGUAUGCUUAAGACAUGCAAGUCGAACGGAAUCUUCGGAUUCAGUGGCGGACGGGUGAGUAACACGUGGGAAUCUACUGAGUAGUGGGGGACAGCCCGGCGAAAGCCGGAUUAAUACCGCAUACGCCCUACGGGGGAAAGGCGCAAGCCGCUAUUUAAUGAGCCCGCGUAAGAUUAGCUAGUUGGUGAGGUAAAGGCCCACCAAGGCAACGACCUUUAGCUGGUCUGAGAGGAUGGCCAGCCACAUCGGGACUGAGACACGGCCCGGACUCCUACGGGAGGCAGCAGUCGGGAAUAUUGGACAAUGGGCGCAAGCCUGAUCCAGCAAUACCGCGUGUGUGAAGAAGGCCUGCGGGUUGUAAAGCACUUUCAGU
rnacentral:rRNA from 1 species